AUAUAUAUAUAUAUUUUUUUUUUUUUUAACUGAAAAAGUACACCAUUUUAUAAACAUAUUAAGAUGAUUCUUUCGGCAUCAGUUUGAGUUACAUGGUGUUACUCACAUGGAUGGAGACACACACACUGACACCUAAAGUGCUAGGUCCCAAGAACCAAAUGCUGGUCUUAGGCGUUCUUUUAUAUCCUAAUCACCACUUCAGCAUUUAGACUACAGGAAAGAUUUUUAAAACCCAGAAAUGUGCCCUGCAGAAUGUGUGGUAGUGUUGAUUCUUCACCUGUACUUAAUGAGACUUGGUUAUUUUUAUUUAUUUUCCAAUGAUGUGCUUCUUUCUCUAGUUUCAAGUACAGUAUUUUUCAUUUUUGUAGAAAAUCUUAGUAUCUUUCUAGCCUGGUCUAGCUACCUUCAAGAGUUGAAGAAAAAAGUUUUAAAAAGUCAUCAGCUCUUACUGAGAGUGAGAUAAAACGUUGAAAUUCCAGAUUAGCCUGGGUGAAUCAUUGAGGUUUGUAUGGACUUUAGGUAAUGCAUAAAACACUGAAACUGUGGGAUUCUGUACAAAAACAUAUCAAAUUCAGUAGUAGUAAUAAUGUUCCACAGCUUUGAUUUGAUUUAAAAUGUUAUAUAACUCUACAUUAUAUGCACUUGUAGAAUCAUUAUUAAAGUUCCUCUAAAUACUUUUAUCAGAUAAGAGAUUUCCAGCUAUUCUUUUAUAUUCAUCAUAAGUUAAUACCACUAUCUGACUUCCCUUACUAGAUUUCUUCAAAAAUUAACCUUUUCAAUUCUUAGAGUGGACUACUAUUGCACUGUAUCAUCUGAACGAUUCCUAUACUUUUAUGUCAUUUUUAGCCAACAAACAUUUUACCUCAGUUAGUGUCACUUUUUUCAGAUGGCAUAGACUUUGACUUAAGAUGACAGUGCUACUUCUUCACAGUCUAUAAAUGAUUGUGCACUGCUGUACUAAUGAGAAUAGAAAAUUUCUGACUUCUGCUACUUUCAGGAGCAUAUAUUGUAUAAUGAAACUACUAGUUACUGGGGCAUUGAAAAUAGUUUUUAAUCAAUUUCCUUUAUCCCAGAAAAAAAAAAAUAGUUACUAGUCAUGCAGUCCAGGAGAUCAUUAAGGAGUCAAAUUCCCCAGUUGCCCCAAAGCACUGUUUGGUUAAGCGACUUGCUCACUUUCACACAUUAGAUAAAUGAAAAAAGAAAUGUUCAGAUCUUGCAAGCAUUGGCACAGAAUGCAGCUAAUUGACUAGUUGGAGUUGUUAGCUGUGCUACGCUAACUGCCAGAUGUUAAUAAUAAAUAAUCAGACUCUAAAUCACAGUGCAUGCAUAUGUACUUUUUACAAAAAUGUGCUAUUAUAGCCUUGGUAAAAUAUUGAUGAAUUUCAUGACCUGUUAAAGGAAUAUCAAAACAAAAGUAAUGGGGCUAGGUGUACUGGCAGUAAACCACAAGAUUUGUAACGCAGCACUAAUGGCCAACAUGUUAACUCCUAAUUGGUAUAUUUCCUUCCAUGAAAAAAAAAAUAUAUAUGAUCUGUAUACCUGAGAAGCACUACUGACUACAGAUACUGGCUUACUUGUAUGUAGCAGCUUGGUGAAAUAUGUAAACAUGUAGUCUCCACUUUGUCCCUGCUUAGGAAGGGGGGAAGGAAAAACUCUUUGGGUAUUUCCAAGUACCUGGGAUAAGAGAUAAUCACUGAAAAUCAGUGAUUCUGAGCAAAUAGAACAUGUUUAUUUGAACUAGUAAUUGCUUCCUGCUAUUUUGGCUUUCAGCUUCGGGCGGACUAAAAUGUUGACAUCACUGACAUUCCAUUUCAGUCAACACCUAACCUGUAGAAUUCUGUCAGUUACCAACUGCCUAAAACUUAACUUUUAUUAAUAAAGACAUUGAAAUAUGUCCUGUCACUCCAUUGGUAGCAAAACAGAUCCCUGUCAAUUUAAUUACACAGACAUCUUAAAUUUGAAAGGUGCUUGACUUGCCAAAGUCCUUGCAACUCCUGACUGAGCAGUUUUUAGGACUUCAGAAAAAUGCUGGUAGUUAGCAUACAGUUUCCCUGAAAAGGGAUUAUUUGGGGUCAUUUAUGAAUGAGUGCGGACAACAUAGGUCAGAAGUUUGAUUUUGGUCUGAAAGUACACAUUUUUCCAACUUUGAGAAUGUAAGAAUGACAUUUACAUGUGUAUAUGUAAAACAGUGCACUUUUUCUAACCAUGGUGGUGUCCUUAAGGGGGUCUAGGCAAAAGAGCUGCCUGCUGUGGAAUAUUUUAAACUUCAUCUCACUGCAGAUUUUUAAUAUGGCUUGAUGCUGCAAAGCACUUUAAGAAAUUUUCUGUUACAAGCUUCACUUUGUGUUGAGGGACAAUCUCAGUUCUGUUCUUCUGUAGAAGUUUAAAUGAAUCUUGCCUGGCCAGUCAUUUUAGUUAAAUUUAAAUAGCAUAACAUUUUUAUUACAGAAAUAUGUCUUGCUGUAUCGAAGAAAUUGUCAGCAAUUUUAAAACAGAAAAGGGUGGUGAACGGUGCAAGAGAAAGGUGGUGGGGUAAAAGCUUUAAUUUUUAAUAUAUCAUUUUAUUCAAAAUUCAUGUCAAAGCUAAGGGAGGUGUGAAUCUUGCCCAUUCGUUGUAUAAAGGGUCCAUACCACUGGAAAGAUAUCUGCAUUUGGACAGCAAUUUUAGUUGUGGUUCAUUUGCUAACUGAGAUAUUACAAAGCUGCUGUUUUAACAAUUUACUUUUAUGUUACAGUUCACAACAUUAUUUUGCUUUACUAAGCAGCCAGACUGUUUACUAUGGUAUAUGUUUAAUUUUGCAGUUUCAUGCUGAUAACACUCUUGCUGUAGCACAAGGAAAAUUUCUUAGCCCAUUUUGUGUAACAUUAUUUUUUAUAUUAAAACUUGAUACUUGCAGUUUUGCACUUUGCAUGCAGCAAAAGGGGUGUUUAUUGUUAACAUGAUAGUGCCCUGUCUAGUGUUCACCCUUGGUACAAAUUUAAACAGUCGUGAGGGAAAAGCAAAACAUUUUGUAGCCCGCUUACUAUUAUUCUAAUUACUAGCAGUUUCUGUUUCUGAAAGCUAGUUAUUUACCUGUUGGAUGUGUUUGUGCAGUCUGUUAUCAAUAACCCUUGAUAAUUUAUUUCUGUAUUUGUUUUUGAGAGAAUGCACCACAUGUAACAGUAGGAAUGACCAAUUGUACAUUUGGACCCUUUGUAACAAGUUACAUUUCUCAUCAGUUUGUAGUUUGAAGGCUGCCUCUAUUGACAUUGAAAUUUGCUUAGAAUGUACAUAGAGAUGGUCUUCCCUGCCUUAGUUUGUUCUUUCUGCCAUUAUUCAUGGACUCCACCGUAUCACCAGUCACCACCACUGAUGAUCAUGUGUGUUGCCCUUUUUUAAUGUGUCCAUGGCUGCCUCUUCCCCUUCUAAGUAAAGACCCAAUAUCCCACAGAUUGCCUUUCUUAAUGUAGCAGACGAUUAAUUAAAGGCUGUGUUAUGGGUUGCAAGUCCAGUGCCCAUCAGGUAUGGGCAAACUUUCAUUAUUAAUUUAUGGUAAGAUGCACUGUUCCCAUUUAUGAAAAGUUUUGCCACCAGGAAUCCCAACAGCUAAAACACUGAUGUGUUACUGAUGGACUUUUAACGAAGUCUUUGUUGGCAGAUUCCUUCUCUAGCAGUGAGAUGUGCUUUUUUUUCUGCCCACUGCUAUUCUCUCUGAAGCUUUGUUCAGCAUUGUGGUGUACAGGGCAGUUAUCAAGAAGGUGAAAUCUCUGUCUUAGUUAAGCCUUCAGAAGAGAACCAGCUUCUUACUUAAAACUUGUUAGAUGAAGAGGGUGAAGAAACUGGAUUACUGAGAUGUCCUGCCAGGUUUCCACUUCUUUUCUGACUUCUCAGCUAGGUCAAAGAAACUCCUUCCUUUUCUUUUGUAAUACUUUUUACAGUGAUAGUUUUUUAUGCUAAUUUGGAUGAUUACAGAUUUACAUGGUGGAGUUUGUUACACUGAUGUACGCAAGCAUUUGCUCUUGAUAGUUUCCUGGUGUUAGUAACCCUCUGAGGGGUAUUGAAGGUGGGAUGGAAGACUCCAGAAAAAGGUCCCUUAUUUCAGUACAAUAUGUCCACUUCAGCUGUGUGUCUUAAAGUGAUUUGGUUAAAACCUUUCACCUUUAUCAACUAUUACAACCUUUACAUCAAGCUCAAGGCUAGAGUGGGCUUUUUUCUUGCUUGGCCUGACAGUUUGAAUCCACAGCUAUUUAUACCUCAGCUAUUUUGAAAUAGUAGGAGAGACAGAGGAGGGAUUGCCUCAGAAAAGGUUGCUGCACAGGUUACUACCUAAUUCAAGACCUUCAUGGAAGGAUAUCUCAACUAUCAGAUAUGUGUGCCUUCCCUCUGGUGUUUCAGGAACCUUCCUCAGAUCCUUAUCAUAUCAUGGUUUUUCACUGUGGUAAAGAGUGAGAGUGGGUAGACGGAUAGAGUCUUGCCUUUUGUACAAAGAAAUUAUGAGAAAGAUCACAGAACUGGAUUUUUUUUUUCCUGAAGAUUUAUUGCACAAUGUCUAUCCCUUUCUUGUAGAAUGUUGAAAGGAUAAAGAAGGCUAUGCUAGCUCAAAUGCCUUUAAAUAUCUGAACGUCAAUCUAAAGGUGCUGUACCAGUACACCAUAGACCAGCUUACCACCACCCAGUAUGCCAUUAGUGUUAAAAAAAAUUUUGCUGGUGGACUGCACCCCUACCACAUCUCCCAUUGUAACUGCUAAAGGCCUCAUGCCUCCGAUCAUUGGAUUUACUUUUUUCCUGAAAUCACACGACCUCUGUGAAAAGGCAAAUACAUUGAUUCCUUGUUUUCAGAGGUAGUAUAUGUAGAGUUGAUAGGUGUGGCAGCAGAUCCCUCGCAUAGGGAUGCAGCCAUCAUGAAUUAAUUUACUGUUAAUUUAGAUCUUGCCUCAUUUAGUUUUGUGAUGGUAGUAACGUGUGAUCGGCUUGUUUGGCAUAGAUAAAGUAAAGUACACCUGACAUUAUAGUAGUUUUCUGCAUGCAGCCUUUCACUUGUUCAUCAUUCUGGGUUGUGACUUUGGAUGCACUUGACUGGUGUUGCUCAGGAGAUCACUUAAUUUGUUAGUACACACAUACAAACAUAUAUAUAAUACUUUAAUUUUUAAAAUGCAUGUAUUCUCAUCAUUGUAUUGAACUGUGGACAGUCUUCUUGGUUUGUGGCUUUUUGUUUGUUGCCUUAGUCCAUCUUGCUUUUGAAAUUUUCUACAGGAGUCCUUAUGAAAGUAGUCAAUCUCUUAGUGAGGUACUGUAGAAGUACAUGUUCUUCAUUAGCUUUUGUUUUUACCUUCGAGGCAUUGUUUUCUUUCUUUAUUGCAUGUUUUUGUUUAGAAGAUUUGACUUAAGAGUGAAGAACUUUCUGCAUGUGUGAUGUCAAGCAUUGCCAGAUGUGCCUGGCUCUCAUGGAAUACAGGGCUAAAGCUCUGGCUGUGCUCCACCUAAAGUGUGUUCAGUGAGUGAUUAGGGCAUCUGUUAGAGCUGGCAUAGGAAUGAUUGAUGUGGAUAAGAAGGGGAUAGUAUGGUCCAUCCAGUGACACAUUUCCUUGUUGGAGGGGUGGGUGUUUGGCCACCAAACCACUGUGAAUUUAGAAGGAUGUAGUAACUCCCUUGAUAAUACAGUUCACUUGUCCCCUGCCACAGGUAUGGUUAUGGCUUAAAAAUGCCCGCAUUGCUGAGGUGCCAAAAUGUCAAAAUACUCAUCAUAGCUGCCUAAAUGACUCCUAAGCCAUGGGUUCCUCUUACUCUUGUGGUGGAAAACAAGUGAGCAAUGUCUGCGGUUCUAUGGUUGGCAGGUGUGGGUGCCAUAAACGUUAUGUAAUAAAAAAAUUGUCAGAUUUUAAUUGACAUGCUUGGUUCCUCAUUCAUAAGGUUCCAUUGAACAUUUAGGCUUCACUUCUUAGCUGUUCCGGUUUUACUUAUGCAUGAGCUACUGUCUUGGUGGUCCACUGUUAAAGAAGGUUCUUGCAUAGUCCUAUUUAUGGGAGAUUCACAUGCACAGUUCUUGAGUUUCAUUUAUAGUUUGUUUGAUGGGCACUUGAUCUGACAUGAAAUUAGAAGGCUUCCUCACUCAUUCGUCUGUAUGUACUGUAGUCAAGCAAGCACCUCCCUUUCUUUAUUGGGUGCUAGACGAUGUCAGCAGAAGAGAGCAAAUCACAAUGACGGUACAUAGUUUUCAUUAGAAAAAUAAUUCAUGCAAUAACUUUCCUGAUGCAGAAAGACUGAAAAAAUGUUUCUAAUCUAAGUGGCUGUUUUCGUCAGUGAGUUUGAUAGCUUAAAUGUCCACGUUUAGAUGAGUGCAUAGGAUGCUAUUUCCUGAUAAAAUGCAUAAUUUUACUGUAAUGCAUAAAACCUUUAAAAUGUGUUUCCUGUAAAUUUAUUUUUAAUUGUUGUACUUCACUUGUAUUACAGCCUGUGGAAGUUGUAGACACAUUUAUUAUCUGUUAGUUUACAUCCAGAUUUGUUAUAAAAUGUUACUUCUACCUCCAAAAAUUCUAAAGUAACAUUUUUAUAAAAAACGUCUAUUAGCAGGUUAGAUUUUCAGCCAGUUAGCUAAGCAGGGCUUUGAGUUGCAUACAUUUCAUUAGGCAUCUAGCAUCUGCCAAAAAUAUCUUUACAGCCAUCCCAGUUUAUCCAUAUUAAAAAGCAGAUAUGUUUUUCAUGAAAUUUUGAGUUCAGGUUGAGCCCAUUUUACUGUCAGAUGUUGCCGAGCAAUUCUGAUUAGUAAGUUCAGACCACUGUCCUAAUUCUAUUGAAUAGAGAAUCAACUUACCUAAGUUGUAGCCUUCCAUUUGCUGCUCUGGAUGCAGUCAGACUCAGCAGUGAAUUACUGCAAAGAAAGUUUGUUUACCACUAAGAAAUAUUUUGAGGUGAGGCUAAAAUUCACACCUUCCUUUUUAUUGUAUUUUUUUAGGGUCGGAGGCUUCCAUAUUUAACAAAUACUUAUAUUGUAAUAAGAAGCAACAUUCCAUGUUAACCACUCUGCGAGUGUUCUGCCUGCUGGUCAGGUUUGUACAAAUUAUGUAUAAGCAACCAUAGUCAAAUUUAUUUAAACACAAUGUUCGACCCAUGGAGUAUGAGCUGCACUUCUGCCAUAAAUUGACUUGAUAAUUGUUCAGAAUUUGUGUUUUAAUAAUCAAGUUUUUAUCUUGGGUUAUCUGAAAUGUUGUAGCACUUUGUAAUCAAUGGGUAGGGUUCAGGGAGAUUCAAGAAUGCUGUUUUAACAUACUUAGAAAUUCAGUUACCUGUUGAAAAUGUUUCCUGUUCUUAAUAUACUGUAACAGUGACCACAAGGGUGAUGUUGGCCAGAAUCUCCAUAGUCACUUGUGCACAUAAUCUUGGCAAUUUCUGUUACUAACCUCAAUAAUACAUUUUACUUCAUCUGUGUGCAGACAACUGUACAUCAUUUAUGAUUGUUUUUCUUUGAUGGUUGACUAUUUUCACUCCCACUCCAUUCAUCCACAGCCCCUCUUUCCCAUUUGUACACAUGGGGUUGGAGUGUCACUUUUCAAUUAGCUGGAGCCAAGGUUCACACCACUGGGUGGCUGGCUGGCUGGCCUGUAGUGACUUUUCUUCCAUACUACACAUUUGCAUGCACACUCAUACCUAUGGCCAAUUUAGUGUGUCAAUUCCACCUACUGCAUGUCUUUAGAUUGCGCAGUGGUUAGCAUCGUCACCUCACAGCAAGAAGCUCUCCUAUUUGAUUCUUGGCUGGGAUGUGUUGUGUGGAGUCUGCAUGUCCUACCUGCAUUCGGGUGUUCUGCUUCCAUCCCACAUUCGAAAGACAUGUGGCUGGAGCUUUUCUUCCUGGGCCUCCACUGAAAAUGGGCUCUGUCUCAAUUGGUCUUUCCCAGUAAACAAAUGUUAAAUAAAUAAAUGUGGGAGGAAACCAGCACCCAUGGAAGAAACCCACACAGACACAGUGAGGACAUGCAGUCUCUGCACAGAAGGCAGCCCCAGCCAAGAAUCAUACUAGAGAAUCUCUUGCUGUGAGGGGACAGUGCUAUCCACAGUGGCACUCCCACCAUCUUCAUUUUAUUAAUUUGUAAAUAGGGAAAUGAACCUGCCUGCAACUCAGAUAAAAAAGGCAUUUGAUAUUUAGUAAUCCCAUUUUUAUAAUCCACACAUUUAUGUUAUCUUCUUAAUGUACAUACCUUAAAAAAAUCAGGAAUUCAGAAUCACCAUAACUAGAAUGUGAAAAAUCUUAAUACUAUAGCAUAUCAUUUGCAGUCUUC